rnacentral:sRNA from 1 species
AAAGACUUACCGUACAACAAGUCAUUUACAUGAAAACCAAAAAAAAA